rnacentral:rRNA from 1 species
AUGCACGCUGGCGGCGUGCCUCAUACAUGCAAGUCGAGCGAACAGACGAGGAGCUUGCUCCUCUGACGUUAGCGGCGGACGGGUGAGUAACACGUGGAUAACCUACCUAUAAGCCUGUGAUAACUUCGGGAAACCGGAGCUAAUACCGGAUAAUAUAUUGAACCGCAUGGUUCAAUAGUGAAAGACGGUUUUGCUUUCACUUAUAGAUGGAUCCGCGCCGCAUUAGCUAGUUGGUAAGGUAACGGCUUACCAAGGCAACGAUGCAUAGCCGACCUGAGAGGGUGAUCGGCCACACUGGAACUGAGACACGGUCCAGACUCCUACGGGAGGCAGCAGUAGGGAAGCUUCCGCAAUGGGCGAAAGCCUGACGGAGCAACGCCGCGUGAGUGAUGAAGGUCUUCGGAUCGUAAAACUCUGUUAUUAGGGAAGAACAAAUGUGUAAGUAACUAUGCACGUCUUGACGGUACCUAAUCAGAAAGCCACGGCUAACUACGUG